rnacentral:rRNA from 1 species
UGGGGAAUAUUGGACAAUGGGGGCAACCCUGAUCCAGCAAUGCCGCGUGUGUGAAGAAGGUCUUCGGAUUGUAAAGCACUUUCGACGGGGACGAUGAUGACGGUACCCGUAGAAGAAGCCCGGCUAACUUCGUGCCAGCAGCCGCGGUAAUACGAAGGGGGCUAGCGUUGCUCGGAAUGACUGGGCGUAAAGGGCGUGUAGGCGGUUUACACAGUCAGAUGUGAAAGUCCCCGGGC